rnacentral:misc_RNA from 1 species
GGAAGGAUCAUUAACACGUAUCCAUACGUUAUCACCCUAUGUGCACACGUUUAUUUCUCCCUUGAGAUCACAUGAAUUGGCUAGUACGUAAAUUCCAGCAUUGAAUGGGUUCAGCCUCGGCUGCUCACUGGACUAUGUAUGACAUUACAAUUGUAGUGAUUUCGAGGCUAUUUCUGCUAUUCUUUUCUCCAUUCAAGAGGAGAGUAGUGGAUAACACUAUUAACUAUAAUCACCCACUUUUUGCUAGUUGACUUUUAUAUGUUGAUUUUAGAAUGAAUUAAUUUUCAGUCUGACUUCACACGUUUAAUUACUUGAACGUUAAAAUACAACUCUAUGCAAUGGAUAUCUUGGUUCUCGCAACGAUGAAGAACGCAGCGAAAUGCGAUACGUAAUGCGAAUUGCAGAAUUCAGUGAAUCAUCAAAUCUUUGAACGCAAAUUGCGCUCUUGGGUAGCCCUAGGAGCACGCCUCUCUCAGUAUCGGUUCAAUCACCUCUCAGCAGCGUACUGAUUUAUCAGUGUGUGUUGGCUGGAAAAUGAGAGUCAUCGCUUUCAUGUGGUGUCUCUUUAAGUACAUGGAGUGAGCUCAAUUGCACAUUCAGUUUGGCUUCGGCCAAUAGUCCGUCUCGAGCGGUCAACUGGGAGUGACGUGAAGACUGGCCUCUAUGGUCUCCUUUCUACGUGUAUCUUUCAAGCUGAUUAUCAACGCUUAGGAUGGGUGAACGUUUGUGUCAACGAGUUCAUGUAGCGUGGUGCUAUUCGCACUACAAUCGAUUAGGGAUUUAUUCUUAGUCUGAAUUUUGAUCCGAGAUGAAGCGAGACAACCCCCUGAAUUUAAGCAUAUUAAUAAGGGGAGGAAAAGAAACUAACAAGGAUUCCCCCAGUAACGGCGAGUGAAGCGGGAAGAGCUCAAUUUGAAAAUCGAUUACCUAAGCGGGUCAUCGAGUUGUAGCCUAGAGACGUACCAUCAGCUGAAACCUGGGUAUAAGUUCUUUGGAAUGAGGCAUCAUAGAGGGUGAGAAUCCCGUAUAUGACCCAAAGCUUUCAGCGUACGAUGUAUGUUCAUUGAGUCGAGUUGUUUGGGAUUGCAGCUCUAAAUGGGUCGUAAGUUUGAUCUAAAGCUAAAUAAUGGCGAGAGACCGAUAGCGAACAAGUACCGUGAGGGAAAGAUGAAAAGAACUUUGAAAAGAGAGUUAAAAGUACUUGAAAUUGCGUAGAGGGAAGCGCUGAGCAGCAGUGAUAUGCGUAAUUCAUCGCUGUCGGCCCCACAUGAAUCUGCUUGCAGUUGGUUAACUCUGCCUGUAGGUUCGGAAGGGAGGUCGGCGGUUUAGGAUUGCGUGUCAGUCAAGAUCCAUUCGAUGAGUGGGAGAUGGUGGUGGGAAAGGUAGGAGCCCCGGCUCUGUUAUAGUCCCAUCAUUUUACCUCGCGUUGGAUGGAGGAAGAAAUAGUGCGCCGCUUGCGGCUUGGCUCCGCGUUCCUAAGGAGGCCUGGAGUGUUGAGAGCAAUGCUCUUUGCAUUUUAGUGUCGUCUUACUGGGCGUGAGAGUUGUAUGUGCUAUCACGAUCUUGUACUAAAUGCUGCUCAUCGACCCGUCUUGAAACACGGACCAAGGAGUCUAACAUCUAUGCGAGUAUUUGAGUGAAAAACUCUGAUGCGCAAUGAAAGUAAAGGCAGCUUCGGCUGUUGAGGUAGGAAUCCGGCAACGGAGGCACUAUCGACCGAUCAUCACUUGUGAAAGAUUUGAGUAAGAGCAUAUCUGUUGGGACCCGAAAGAUGGUGAUCUAUGCCUGAACAGGGUGAAGCCAGGGGAAACUCUGGUGGAGGCUCGUAGCGAUACUGACGUGCAGAUCGUUCGUCUGAUUUGGGUAUAGGGGCGAAAGACUAAUCGAACCAUCUAGUAGCUGGUUCCCUC